UAGAUACCCUGGUAGUCCACGCCGUAAACUAUGCACACAAGCUGUAGUGGGAUUUUACUCCUGCUGUGGCGAAGCUAACGCAAUUAGUGUGCCGCCUGGGGAGUACGGUCGCAAGACUAAAACUCAAAGGAAUUGACGGGGGCCCGCACAAGCGGUGGAUUAUGUGGUUUAAUUCGAAGCAACGCGCAGAACCUUACCUAGGCUUGACAUCCCACGACAUCCGUAGAAAUACGGCUUUGUAGCAAUACAC
rnacentral:rRNA from 1 species